AUACGGAGGGUGCGAGCGUUAAUCGGAAUUACUGGGCGUAAAGCGUGCGUAGGCGGUUUGCUAAGUCAGAUGUGAAAGCCCCGGGCUUAACCUGGGAACUGCAUUUGAUACUGGCGGACUAGAGUAUGAUAGAGGGGGGUAGAAUUCCUGGUGUAGCGGUGAAAUGCGUAGAUAUCAGGAGGAAUACCAGUGGCGAAGGCGGCCCCCUGGAUCAAUACUGACGCUGAGGUACGAAAGCGUGGGGAGCGAACAGGAUUAGAAACCCUAGUAGUCC
rnacentral:rRNA from 1 species